rnacentral:pre_miRNA from 1 species
UUAACUCAUAUUUUUAUGGAGUUGGAACGUUUGCCGCUAUGGGCGCUGUUCCAAUUGCAUACAAAUUUGAGUUA